AAUACAACAGAUUCAUUUAAGUCUGCCUCAUAUCUUGACUUACAUCUAGAAAUUGACAAUGAUGGUCCGUUGAAAACAAAACUUUACGACAAAAGAGAUGAUUUCAGUUUCCCAAUUGUGAACUUUCCAUUUCUAUGUAGCUUCAUUCCAGCAGCGCCUGCAUACGGAGUAUAUAUCUCCCAAUUGAUACGAUAUUCCCGGGCUUGUAUUUCCUAUCAUGAUUUCCUCGAUAGAGGGUUGCUGCUCACAAGGGAGCUAUUAAACCAAGAGUUCCAAAUGGUGAAGUUGAAAUCAUCAAUUCGUAAAUUUUAUGGACGCCAUCACGAGUUGGUUGACUGUUAUGGAACAACCGUUUCACAGAUGAUAUCGGAUAUGUUCCUUAUGUCGUAACUACAGCCAACUUCUCUUUUCACCACGAAUGUGACCUACCAAAUUAGACUAUUUACCGGGUUUGUAAUAACAUGAGCAACACGACGGGUGCCACAUGUGGAGCAGGAUCUGCUUAUCCUUCCGGAGCACCUGAGAUCACCCCAGUGUUGGUGGGUUUCGUGUUGCUUAGUCUUUAGUUUUCUUUGUUUUGUCUUUUGUACUAUUAUGUGUAUGUUUGUCUUUUUAUUUUUUAGCCAUGGCGUUGUCAGUUUAUUUUUGAUUUAUGAGUUUGACUGUUCCUCUGGUAUCUUCGACACUCUUUCAUUUCAGUUUCUAGGUAUACAUGCAUCAUGUAUGUAUUGAACAAAAAUGAUUAAUGAUGAUCUUUCAGUUCAUCAACUUUCUUGUGCG
rnacentral:lncRNA from 1 species